CUAUAAUGUAAUGAGUACUUAUUUCUUUACAUUUUUAACAAUUAUACUUCCGGUAAUUACUUCUGACAUAGACAAUAAAUUGAUAAAAGAUAAGUAAUGGAAUAACAAAUAUGUUAUGUAUUAUAAAAAAAUAAAGACUGAAACCUUCGAACGUCACAAGUAAUAGAACAUCGGUCCAUAAUACUCAGACCCGUUUCAAAAACAUGUGUAUGUUAUCUCCUUCUUUCAUCAACAGUUUCUGUCGCCAGCGAAAUCAGCAAUUGUCUCCUUACUACCAUAUAUGGCACGACCCAACAACUCAUCAAUAAUGAAGUUCUUAAUGUUUAUUCCGACUAGAAAUUACUUUGGGAUCGCCGACUGUGUGUAUCUGGACCUCUUUGGCUUCCAAUGGGGCAUUCCCAGUAGGGUAAUCCUUAUGAGGGCCCAAA